rnacentral:tRNA from 1 species
GCGGAAGUGGUGGAAUUGGUAGACACGCUACCUUGAGGGGGUAGUGAGCUUUGCUCGUGGGGGUUCAACUCCCCCCUUUCGCA